UAAUACCUAAAAACGGCGAUAUAGUAUUUUGUAUACUCGAUGUGAACGGAAUAUGAAGCAUAUCACUUCGAACUCAUAAAAAGUUGGAGUUUAGAUAUCAUUCUAAGAGUUA